rnacentral:rRNA from 1 species
CGGGUGAGUAAUGUCUGGGAAACGUGCCUGAUGGAGGGGGAGUAACUACUGGAAACGGUAGCUAAUACCGCAUAACGUCGCAAGACCAAANAGGGGGACCUUCGGGCCUCUUGCCAUCGGAUGUGCCCAGAUGGGAUUAGCUAGUAGGUGGGGUAACGGCUCACCUAGGCGACGAUCCCUAGCUGGUCUGAGAGGAUGACCAGCCACACUGGAGCUGAGACACGGUCCAGACUCCUACGGGAGGCAGCAUG